GAAAGGCAUUUAACUUUCAACGUCGCCUACUUCAGAGCUAUCGUCCUUAUGGAGUCACUCCCGUAUAACUUCGCAAAGACAAUAAACCUGAAGGUCGGUCGCGGUAUUAUAUAAAUGAACUGAUUAUGGAAGACCACCAUUAGUUUAGGAAUUUUUCAACUGGACGGAUAUACAGCCAAUAAGGAUUAUAAUACCUUAUUAUAACGCUUGCUCCUCUUUCUGCGAUAUAAUGGGCGACCUGUGUCAUGCAUGGACCUACAAACCUUCCUUAUCGAUUGCUAUUAUAUUGGUAUCAAUUUUAUGUAUGGUGCAUUGUUCAGAGAAUACUGGAGCCAUUGGAAAAGUGUUCCCACGAGGGAAUCACUGGGCAGUAGGUCACUUGAUGGGGAAGAAAAGCCUUGACAGUCUCUCUGGAUCAGAAGAUAGCAGCAACAGGGACAAUAUACCGUCUUCAGAGGAAGACACGCUGUUGGAUAGAUAUGUGCAGCCGACCAAGCUGGUGCAAGGCUUCAUCAGGACUCUCUGGGGACUGGAGAACAAGAGGCAGAACCAGACCCAGAGACAGGGACAGGAACAUGUUCUCUCUCGAAUGGGGGUACUCAAGACCACAAAGUGGGAAGAGACAGAUAGACACCGAUACCUCAAACAGCUGACAGACCUCAUUCGAUUGGCUUUCAACAUGAAGGAGAACACUAUUUUCAACUGAAGACAGGCAGUCAGCUCUAGUCUGCAGCUGUCCUAUGAUGAACGGCACUACACGCCUCGGAGACUCAGUUCGAGUCGUUGCAUCCAGCGCACCUGUUCACAAUAUUUUGAAAACAAUAUAGCCUAUAUUAGAGUUGACUUGAUACGAUAUAUAAUAACAUAAUUAAUAAUAAUUACAUGACGUCAUCUACUAUUUAUUGUAUCCCCCUCAAAAUACUACCCCCCUUCAAAAUACUAUUCCCCCAUCAACAACAAUGUGUAAAGAACAUUGAAUAAAUCUGAAAUUGUUGUGAUAACUGCAUUGUGGAUAUCUGGGUGUUCCUUCACAUAACCAUACAGAGGUAUCCAAAACAAAUAUCAAAAAAAUAUUUGAUAAAAUAUAGAAUUUCGCCUUUAUUACUAUAACCCAUAAAAACACAUUGAAUGACACAUUCAUAAAUGGCAAAUAAGACAGUCCAAAAGUAAAUCAUGAGGAAUAAGGUUUUGAAGUGUCUAUACCUCCUUACUUCCAUAAAACAGUUUUAAUGUACUGGUUACCUUCAGAUGAGUCCCAUAGGUUCAGUCAAACCGUUCGGACGCUACAGACGUUUUCAUGAGAAGACUCAUUUUCGGGAUGUCUCGUGCUCUGACCAACACCGCAUCUCUGUCACCUUUCACCGCAGAUGUGAACGUGUUACAAACAAUAGAUAUCGCUAGCUUAAACUGGCGGUAUUUUGAUGGGGAUUUUUAUUAUGUUACUUCGAUAAUCGACUCUAGGAGGUAUAUUUACUAUAGUACUGUAUGUACUUCAUUUUCAACUGACAACGGGCGAAGAAGUGCAGAGGCAACAUAUUCACCACAAGAUGGCAGACAAGCGUCUCAUCAGAGCCUGUUCACAGUUACGACUGCGUUCCUCAUUCCACUUUCUAAUAACGACAUUUUUAAUUAUAUAAUCUUUUGUUAUGUUUACAAAAUGUAUAUCUAUCUAUCCCAUAUUAAAAUCAGACAACUGAUAUGCAUCCUUACAUUUCUCUAAACUACCUAAGAUACUCAAAGUUUAAAAUAUAAGCUUCAGUAUCAAUGAAGUUAGUUCUUAAAACUAUUCAAUUUCUGUUAGAAGUUUUCGGGCAACAAUUUGGCAAUCACUACGAUUAGGCUACAUUUUGACAAAGGACAAAAUACUGGCUUGUAUCUUUCAGUGAGCCAGCAAUACAUAAAUCUAAUGACAAGCUGAUCUUUGUGAGGCAUAAUGUGCAGACAGACAGUCAUUACGUUCCAAAUGGCACCCUACUCCCUAUAUAGUGCACAACUUUAGACCAGAGCCCUAUCGGAAAUGUAGUGCACCAUAUAGAAAAUAGGAUGCUAUUUGGGACGUAAAACAGUGUGUAAGGAAGGACUCAUGCCUCUCUACUCAGCUGUCCCCUGACAACAAUGGCCUCAAUUAUCUGCUCCAGACUUUCUCACAAUGAGAAAUCAUAAUUGGAACAAUUUCAUUUGGUUAAGGCGCAUCCUGUUGGCAUAAACCAGGCUUGUUCUCCAGUCUGUUUUCUCCCCUCAUUUGUCACAGAUAAUAGUAGAUGAUAUUAGUGGAUAAUAGUAGAUACAGUGCCUUGCAAAAGUAUUCAUCCCCUUUGGCGUUUUUCCUAAUUUGGUUGCAAUACAACCUGUAAUUUAAAUGGAUUUUUAUUUGGAUUUCAUGUAAUGGACACACACAAAGUAGUCCAAAUUGGUGAAGUGAAAUGGAAAAAAUAACUUGUUUCAAAAUAUUAAAAAAAUAUUAAAAAAGGAAAAGUGGUGUGUGCAUAUGUAUUCACCCCCUUUGUUAUGAAGCCCCUAAAUAAGAUCUGGUGCAACCAAUUACCUUCAGAAGUCACAGAAAUAGAUAAAUAAAGUCCACCUGUGUACGAUCUUAGUGUCACAUGAUCUGUCACUUGAUCUGAGUAUAUAUAUAUAUAUAUAUAUAUAUAUACCUGUUCUGAAGGGCCCCAGAGUCUGCAACACCACUAAGCAAGGGGCACCACCAAGCAAGUGGCACCAUGAAGACAAAGGUGCUCUCCUAACUCACUGACCAGGUAAGGUAGGCAUUAAUCAUAGAGGCAACAAAGACACCAAAGAUAACAUUGAAGGAGCUGCAAAGCUCCACAGCGAAGAUUGGAGUAUCUGUCCAUAAGACCACUUUGAGCCUUACACUCCACAGAGCUGGGCUUUACGGAAGUGUGGCCAGAAAAAAGCCAUUGCUUAUAGAAAAAAAUAAGCAAACACGUUUGGUGUUCGCCAAAAGGCCUGUGGGAGACUUCCCAAACAUAUGGAAGAAGGUACUCUGGUCAGAUGAGACUAAAAUGGAGUUUUCUGGACAUCAAGGAAAAUACAUCUGGCACAAACCCAACACCACUCAUCACCCUGAGAACCCCAUCCCAGUGAACCCCAGUGAACCAUGGUGGUGGCAGCAUCAUGCUGUGGGGAUGUUUUUCAACAGCAGGGACUGGUAAACUGGUCAGAAUUGAAGGAAUGAUGGAUGAUGCUAAAUACAGUGAAAUUCUUGAGGGAAACCUGUUUCAGUCUCCCAGAGAUUUGAGACUGGGGUGGAGGUUCACCUUCCAGCAGGACAAUGACCCUAAGCAUACUGCGAAAGAAACACUUGAGUGGUUUAAAGGGAGACAUCUAAAUGUCUUGGAAUGGCCUAGUCAAAGCCCAGACCUCAAUCCAAUUGAGAAUCUGUGGUAUGAUUUAAAGAUUGCUGUACACCAGCGGAACCCAUCCAACUUGAAGGAGCUGGAGCAGUUUUGCCUUGAAGAAUGGGCAAUAAUCCCAGUGGCUAGAUGUGCCAAGCUUAUAGAGACAUACCCCAAAUAUUUUGCAUCUUCAAAGUGGUAGGCAUGUUGUGUAAAUAAAAUGAUACAAACCCCCCAAAAAUCUAUUUUAAUUCCAGGUUGUAAGGCAACAAAAUAGGAAAAAUGCCAACGGGGUGAAUACUUUUGCAUGCCACUGUAGUAGAUCAUAGUCGAUAUUAGUAGAUAGUAGAUCAUAGUAGAUAGUAGAUCACAGUAGAUAAUAGAAGACAGUAGAUCAUAGUAGAUAAUAGUAGAUAGUAUAUAAUUGUCACACCCUGACCUUGGAGAGCUUCUUAUGUCUCUAUUUUGGUUUGGUCAGGGUGUGAUUUGGGUGGGCAUUCUAUGUUCCUUUUUCUAUGUUUUGUAUUUCUUUGUUUUGGCCGGGUAUGGUUCUCAAUCAGGGACAGCUGACUAUCAUUGUCUCUGAUUGGGAACCAUACUUAGGUAGCUUUUUCCCCACCUAUGUUUUGUGGGUAGUUAUUGUUUAGUGUUUAGUGUUUUCUGCCCCUGACAGGACUGUUUCGGUUUCCUUAUUCACUUUGUUAUUUUUGUUUAUGUGAUCAGAUCAAUAAAAGUCAUGAACACUCA